GGGCCUGUAGUAUAACGGUAGAAUACGGCAUUCGCAUUGCCGAGAUAGGAGUUCAAUUCUCCUCAGGUCCA
rnacentral:tRNA from 1 species